rnacentral:rRNA from 1 species
UACGUAGGGACCAAGCGUUGUCCGGAAUCAUUGGGCGUAAAGGGCGCGCAGGCGGCUGCUCAAGUCAGGCGUGAAAGGCCUGGGCUCAACCCGGGAAUUGCGCUUGAGACUGGGCUGGCUUGAGUGCGGGAGAGGAUGGUGGAAUUCCCAGUGUAGAGGUGAAAUUCGUAGAUAUUGGGAAGAACACCGGUGGCGAAGGCGGCCAUCUGGACCGCAACUGACGCUGAGGAGCGAAAGCGUGGGGAGCGAACAGG